CCUACGGGCGGCAGCAGUAGGGAAUUUUGCGCAAUGGGGGAAACCCUGACGCAGCAACGCCGCGUGAUCGAUGAAGCCCUUCGGGGUGUAAAGAUCUGUCAGUGGGGACGAAACCUGACGGUACCCACAGAGGAAGCACCGGCUAACUCCGUGCCAGCCGCCGCGGUACUCCGGAGGUUGCACGCGUUGUCCGGAAUCAUUGGGCGUAAGGGGUUCGUAGGUGGGGCGUUAAGUCUGGUGUGAAAGGCGGAGGCUCAACUUCCGUAGUGCACUGGAUACUGGCGAGCUUGAUUGCAGUUGAGGUAAACGGAAUUCGUGGUGUAGCGGUGAAAUGCGUAGAUAUCAGGAGGAACAGCGAUGGCGUAAGCACUUUACUGAGCCGUAAUUGACACUGAGGAACGAAAGCCGGGGUAGCAAAUGGGAUUAGAUACCCCAGUAGUC
rnacentral:rRNA from 1 species